GUCCUUACGCAGGAGGCCUCUAUCGAUGACGUUCACACGGAGAUAGAGAGAUUGCUAGGUUGGAAAUCCAAACCACUGCAAAUUCAAGUCUUAUGUCUUUCGUGGCAUGAGCCCCCUCUCAAGCUUUGGGAGGAUGCAAUUUUUGGAGUAGGCUUUUGAAGCCU
rnacentral:snRNA from 19 species